ACACACACCAAACACAACCCCAGGGCAACAGGCUUGUCUGGAGACUUGCUUUGCACCGUCGCACUGCUGACCCCACUUGUUCUGAUGACUGUGUGGAUGUCUGGGAGGAACCAGCUCCAGCACACAAGGCAAAAAAAAAAAAAAGGAUGAUUGGGAUGAGGCUCGCAGAAAAAAAAGUCCCUGGAAGAACACGCUUGAAAAUUUAAGAAGCCUAAAUGGAAGUCUACAACGCUAAUAAACUCCCUUAUUGAGUGAAGUCCAUUUCGGUUAUGUGUUAGUUAGUCUAUCGUUACACUAUAUACACAUUAGUAUAUAUUAGGUAGCCUAAUAUCAGAACAAGAGCCAGUGUAGGGGUCACAGAGAGACUCCAGGAUCAGCUUACAGUUGCCCUAUUACAUCAGCAUAAGUAACUGAAUCCAAAGCGCUAACUAGCUUAUGAGAGACCCAAUCCCUCUGACUGGCUUCCCUCUACUGUACCUCUAGGCCUGGCUAUGACUCUUUCCCAUCCAGCUCAAAGCACAGUGCUCUAUGGGUGUGCCUAAUGUGGACUCACUGAAAUGUCAAAGCAUUAUAUAUCCUUUUACGCACAGAGUGGCCCCUAAGGGUUUAAUUGACUAUGCUGUAAAGUGAGUUUGAGAGCCGCGAGAGAGUGAGAUGAAGAUGAAUAUGUUUCAUUAGAGGGCAAACAGAGCCUGAUGGCUAGGAUUGGCAUUGAGAGAGGAGGAAGAGUCGAACUCGGAAGAAAAACACAUUUACCCAUUCACGGUCGGCGAUGAAAAGUACAGGCGCGGCCGUCCACUCCCCGUCUAACUCACCGGUCCGAUUCAUAUUUAACACGUGCUCUUUUCACCUCUUCCCCGUUUCUUCUCUCCAGGCAACCCUCUGUCUUUCUCUGAAUCAAACAAGGUGGGAACGAGCUUCCGGCGCCUGCCUGGCAACUUCAAAUACCCAUCAAAGAACAGAGGGAGGAGAGGGGGCACCGCUGCUGUCCCGCGGCCUUCGUUUACCAAUUACUCUGAGUGGCUGCUGACAGUCGACCAUGUGGUGCUCAGAGGAAGUGUCUUGCACCUCCGAGCCUGAAGGAGACGGGAGAAAGGAAGCGUAGAGAAGACACGGAGGAAGACGGAGGAGGACUCAUCUUCAAGACAAAGGCUUUGAUUCCAACGGGGAGAAAUCUACAGGUUUUACAGAACCUCGGAGUGACAGAGAUUAAACUAAUUCAGUAAUUAUUCAUAGAGCAUUUUAUUUGAUUGUUUCUGGGCAAAACUAAACUUAACAACUUUCAAAUUUUGCUAAAGAAGCUGUCAACUUGGUCUAUCCAAAAAGCCCCACUGCGCCGAUCAGUCUGGAAGUGAUUUCAAAGCUAUUUGAAGGCCAAGGACUCCGAAGAUCCACAGUGAGAGACAAAAACUACAAAUUGCAGAGACUUGAACAAUAGUGAUCCUUCCUUGUGGCAGAACAUCAAAGCACAACUGUGGCUCGUCUCAAGUAAGAAAUCCAAGGAAAACUUCCAAGGAACUGCAGCCAUCUUUGUUCUCAACAAAGGUCAGCUAUUAUGACGACGGGCUCGCGAACGCAGCAUCGGGGGAGAGAGUGUCGAGACAGACGUUAUUUGGAACAUCUGUGUAAAAUCUUAAACGUUUUAGGGGAGAACGUUCCUUUGACUGAUGAGACAAACCUCGGACUGUUUGGAGGACUGGACUCCAGUAACACCAGCCAUAAACACAGAAUUCCAGCAGAAGAUCAGUCACAGAGGUGGGAGUGUGAUGUUGUGGGGAGGACACUGGACACUGGAGGACAAAGACGCUGUCAUUGAGUGAAACCUGAAGGUUUUUUUUAAAAUUGAAGCUGUACAGUUCUGGCUUCCUCACUAUGCGUCUUUCCCAUGGAUUAUCCCUCUUCAAACACCACGAGGCCUGAAGCCCCCUACCCGUUCCUCCUCUGUCAAGCCGUCUCAGAAACCCAGCCAGCCAACGAACACAACCGAGACAAAACACAACCAUAAUGGCUCAUUAAAGGGAAUGGAGCCGACUUGGGCAAACAAAGCAGCCUUCACUGGGCUGUCACCAAAACUCCUGCGAUGGUACGUCCAAACUCACGCUGGUGACAAGGAGGCGCAAAUGUCUCCCGCCCACUGAAACUCACGGCAGUUUGGAGUGUUUUGACUACGCGCAACGUGUCUCUAUUUGUUCUGUGACAAAUCUAAUGUGUGCACAGCGGAGUGACAGACCACGGUGCUCCAGAGAGGAGAGGAGUGUGUGUGUGUGUGUGUGUGUGUGUGUGUGUGUGUGUGUGUGUGUUCGUCUUUCUUAGAGGGGAUGUGUAAUUCAAAAGGUAUGACUCAAGCAUAUGAUUCACAUUUCACACUUUCAUACACAUUGAACCAUUCAGUGACCCUCGCAUUAAACCAACUGUAUUCAUUACAUUUCUUGAUAUCGUUGUACUUACUGGUAAACAAGUGUUUUCCAGAUGUUUUGUGAAUAACAGCUCAUUUUCUUUACUAUGCUCAGCUUAAAGAGACAAUAGCAGUCGAAACUCAGCAGAACGGUUACAGUGGGUCUGUCCUCUGCGUCGCACUCUCUCCAUGCUGUUCGACUUGUUUCUCCCAGUUUUUUUUUUUUUUUUUUAACUGAAGCUCGUGUGUACAGCUAAUCCCAUAGGCCACCACUGACCCAGCACCUACUGCAGGGAAAGAACAGUCAUAUCUGCUUAGCGAUCCCCCAGUAAUUAAGGAAGGCCCGCACCAUGCCUAAACCUCUCCCUGACACAGUGUUGUGUCUGCGCAGCAUGGAGACAAAGAGUUAUAAGAGGCUUAAGGCUCAUGUACCUGCCACCUGUGCCUGUGUGUGUGCGUGCGUGUGUGUGUUUCAAAUAAAAGGCAGACAGAAGAUUCAGAAACUGAUCAGAAAAGUAGAAUUAACCACCUUUACUGUUUCUUAAUUACCACAAAGUCUACCUCAGCACUAUAAAUACCCUCUGACACCCAAGGGACUCUGAAAAAUCCAAUUCCAACACACACACACACACACACACACAAACACACACACACACACACACACACACACACACACAGAA